UGCGCUGGUGGUUGAGUGAUGUAAUCACGCGGAGUCUGAGGUCUCCGUGAGUGUAGGUUUCGUCGUUGUGCUGAUGACAAGCAGUGCCCGAACUCUAGGCUGGGAAUUGUGCCAGGCUGCUGCUUUCGUGGCUGACCAGAAAAGGGCAGAAGGAUUGAAGUUUACGAAGUUUUUGAAUCAGGAGGCAAAGUCGCCUUGUGCUCCAAAAAGGGUAGAAAAAGGCCUGGCUAACUGGAGAAUCGCGUCCUUACGGUGCCUGCAUAUUUAUGAUACGAAUUAAGCUGCUCAAGGGGUGCUAGGUUUGUCUGCAGUCCAUUUAUCCCUCCUGGUGGAAGACGCGUAGGGAAACUUGGUAUCCUGUGUUUUCCAGUUGAACGCUUGUGAAAAUUCGCUUUAUCCUUGAAGUUCAGAAUUUUCACCAGGAUGUAUGAUGACCCCGUCCUCGAUGGAUCAGCCGGCACCACCCAGAUAGAUAAAUUGGCUCAUCUGAUCUUGUGGCCCCCAUCCAGGAAGUGACUCAGUGCAAGAAGACAGCUUUGACUCCCUGUGAUUUCAUCUCUGACCUGACCAAUCAGCACUCUCAGCUCACUGGC